CCAACACCUUACCAGAUUACAGAGAGGAAAUGAGGCUUUUAAAGAGCUGUGUAAAAAAGGAAUGUCUAAAAAAACUGCUCACCGUCUUGAAUAUCUGCCUGAAAUCCCCUCCAUAAGUCUUAAUCAUAAGAACAAAAUGAACACAUAUUUGAAAUGCCUAGAUAUCGUCUUAAAAUUUCACUUCCUCCCAAACAGCACCAUUUCACAGCAAGCUGCCAUUUUUUCCCUAGUAACUGCCAUCCACAGAUCGUAUUUCUGAAGAGUGUUCAUUGUUGCCCAUUUUGUCUUUCAGCAACAGAUCAACUCCUAGCAACCAUGAUCGGAUACAGCGUCUCCGGCAAGAAUUUCAGCAAGCAAAACAGGAUGAAGACGUGGAGGAUCGGCGACGUACCUAUAGCUUUGAACAACCCUGGCCCAACUCCAGGCCGUCAGCGCAGAGCGGGCGACACUCGGUGUCGGUGGAGGUGCAGAUGCAACGGCAGCGGCAGGAGGAGCGCGAGAGCUUCCAGCAGGCCCAGCGCCAGUACAGCUCGCUGCCCCGGCAAAGCAGGAAGAAUGCCAGCUCUGUCUCCCAGGAUUCUUGGGAGCAGAACUACCCUCCCGGGGAAGGCUUCCAGAGUGCCAAGGAGAACCCCAGGUACUCGAGCUACCAAGGUUCCCGAAACGGCUAUCUGGGUGGGCACGGCUUCAACGCCAGGGUCAUGCUGGAGACCCAGGAGCUGCUCCGCCAGGAGCAGAGGCGGAAAGAGCAGCAGAUGAAGAAGCAACCUCCGGCCCCCGAGGGGCUCAACAACUAUGAUUCAUAUAAGAAAGUCCAGGACCCCAGUCACAUCUCUGCCAAGGGGCCUUUCCGGCAGGACGUGCCCCCCUCACCUUCUCAGGUCGCCAGGCUGAACAGACUCCAGACUCCUGAGAAAGGGAGGCCCUUCUAUUCCUGAGCAGGAGGAGAGCGGACACUUCGUGUCAUGCAAUAAAGGACACUUUCCUACGAAGACUUGUAUUCGG
rnacentral:lncRNA from 1 species